UGUUCGCGUUCCGGAGCGUCGCGUCAGGAUCGAGGUGACUGGACCGAGAAGAUCCGAGAGGAGCGCCUGUCCCCGCAACAGAGAGGCAGGUCUGAGGCUCGGCGACGCUGCCCGGGGUAUCCUGCGCCAACCCCGGGAGAGUGACCGCCGUGCCCGCGUCUCGCCUCCUCUCCCGCAGCUCCCGGCCCCGCUCCGUCCACCGAGUCCGAUGGCGGCGGCGGCCCUGAGGGACCCGCCUGAGGGUGGUGUGACCUUUGAGGACAUUGCCCUGUACUUCUCCUGGGAGGAAUGGAGGCUCCUCGAUGAGGCUCAGAGACGCCUGUACCGUGAUGUGAUGCUGGAGAACUUGGCGCUCAUAUCUUCACUGGGUGGUUUCUGGAGUGGAGAAGAGAAUGUUGAGGCAUCCUUUGAACAGAGUGUUUCUGUGGUAAUGUCACAGGUCAGGACUUCCAAGGAACCUUCAUCUUGCCAGAAGACUCACCCCUGUGAGAUGUGUGGUCCAGUCUUGAGAGACAUUUUCCAUUUGACUGAGCAGCAGGGAACACAACACAGCCAGAAACUAUUCAAGUGUAGGGCAUGUGCAAAAGGAUUUUAUUUCAGUGCAGACACUCAGCAGCACCAGGAGCAACACAUGCAAGAAAAACCGUUCAUAAUCAGUGUGGACAGGGCCUCAUUUGUGAAGAGCAGCAAUUUCCAUGUGUCAGGGGAGCCUUUUACCUGCAAGAAAGUUGCAGAGGACUUCCCAGCCACCUCAGGACAUCUGAAUCAACAGGCCAUUCACACUGGGGAAAAGCCAAACACAGUCACCCACUGCAUGGAAACUUUACAAAGCAGAAAAAGUCAUUGCACCAGGGGAGAAUGCAAGAAAGCCUUCAGCCCCAAACACACACUUGUUCAGGCCCAGAGUGUCUACACUGAAAGACAGUGUUUUAUGUGCAGUGAAUGUGGGAAAUCAUUCAAGUAUAAAUCCUCAUUUGUUGUGCACCAGAGAAUUCACACUGGUUACAGGCUUUAUGACUGUGGCGAGUGUGGAAAAUCUUUUAGGGGAAGCUCAGCCCUCAUUCAACAUCAAAGAAUUCAUACUGGGGCAAGGCAGUACAGGUGCAGCAAAUGUGGGAAAUCCUUUAGCCAAGAAUUUGUCCUCAUUUAUCCUCAGAGGAGUCACACUGGAGAAAAUUGCCACAUUUGCCAUCCGUGUGCACAGUCUUUUAGCCAUAGCUCCAUCUUUUUUCAACAACAGACAGUUCACACUGGAGAAAUGAGUUAUGAGUGCACUGAAUGUAGGAAGUCCUUUAGACGAAAAUCUGACCUCAUUGAACACUGGAGGGUUCACACAGGAGAAAGGCCUUAUGAGUGCAAUGAAUGUGGGAAAUCCUUUACUUCUAGCUCUGCCCUCCGUUAUCAUCAGAGAGUUCACACUGGAGAAAAGCCUUAUAAAUGUGGGGAAUGUGGGAAGUCUUUUACCUCUAGCUCUGGCCUACGUUAUCAUAAGAGAAUUCACUCAGGAGAAAGGCCAUAUGAGUGUACUGAUUGUGGAAAGUCUUUUACCCAAAUAAAUCACCUCAUUAUACACCGAAAAGUUCACACAGGAGAAAGGCCUUAUGAGUGUAGUGAAUGUGGGAAAUCCUUUAGCUACAAAUGUUACCUGUCUCAACACCAGAGAGUUCACACUGGAGAAAAGCCUUAUGAAUGUAGUGAAUGUGGGAAAUCUUUUACCUCUGGUUCCGCCCUCUGUUAUCAUCAGAGAGUUCACACAGGAGAAAAACCUUAUGAGUGCAGUGAAUGUGGGAAAUCCUUUACCAGUGGACCGAUACUCAUUCGACACCGUAGAGUUCACACAGGAGAAAGGCCUUAUGAGUGCAGUGAAUGUGGGAAAUCCUUUACCCAAAGAAAUCAUCUCAACAUACACCAGAGAGUUCACACAGGAGAAAGACCUUAUGAGUGCAGUGAAUGUAGUAAAUCUUUUACCACUGGUUCCGCCCUUCGUUAUCAUCAGAAAAUUCACAUGGGAGAAAGGCCUUAUGAGUGCAGCGAAUGUGAGAAAUCUUUUUUCUCUAGCUCUGCCCUCCGUUGUCAUCAGAGAGUUCACACAGGAGAAAGGCCUUUUGACUGCAGUAAAUGUGGUAAAUCUUUUAGGGGCAGUUCCCAAUUGAAUCAACACCAGAGAGUUCACACUGGAGAAAAGCCUUAUGAAUGUAGUGAUUGUGGGAGAUCCUUUAGCCAGAAUUCAUACCUCUCUAAACACCGGAGAGUUCACACUGGAGAAAGGCCUUAUGAGUGCAGUGAGUGUGGGAAAUCUUUUACUUCUGUCUCUGCCCUUGGUUAUCAUCACAGAGUUCACACUGGAGAAAGGCCUCAUAAGUGCAGUGACUGUGGGAAGUCUUUUACCAAUAGCUCAAUACUGAUUCGCCAUCGGAGAGUUCACACAGGAGAAAGGCCUCAUGCAUGUAGUGACUGUGGGAAGUCCUUUACCCAAAGAAUUCAGCUCAUAAUUCACCAGAGAGUUCACACAGGAGAAAGGCCUUAUGAGUGCAGUGAAUGUGGGAAAUCGUUUACCUCUCGUUCCACCCUUCAUUAUCAUCAGAAAGUUCACACAGGAGAAAAGCCUUAUGACUGCAGCGAAUGUGGGAAGUCUUUUAGCCGAAGAUCUAACCUCUCUCAGCACCAGCGAGUUCACACUGGAGAAAGGCCUUAAAUGUAAUUCAUGUGAUGGGAAUCAAAGUAUUUACUCUUUCCUGCUUUUAUUUAUGUUGCAUAAAUACUUGGAGAGUCAUCAAUGAUAUCUUGCAGGAUCUUAGUUUCCCAACCAGGCCUCAUCAGUGAAAGUGCAGAGUUCUAACCACUGGACUGCCAGGGAAUUCCCAUUUUUUUCAUUCUUACCAGCAGUGUAUGAGAGCAUUUCUUCCACAUCCUGGUGAAUACUUCAUUU